GGGUCGUUAGCUCAGUUGGUAGAGCAGUUGACUUUUAAUCAAUUGGUCGCAGGUUCGAAUCCUGUUUGAGUUG
rnacentral:tRNA from 1 species